rnacentral:lncRNA from 13 species
AUGCAUGCGUGUUUGUGUCUGUUUGUCUCAUAUAGCAUCCAAAGAGCUUAUUCCUUAUCGGCCAACAUUGUGAUGGCAUCGCCGGGGUCUAAGGUUGACUGGGAGAGUAACGGAGGCCUGGUGAAGAAGCUUUCUUCCAUUAAGGAGGAUGAGGAGGGUGAUGAAGAACAGAGCUCUGUAUCGUGUGCCCCCCGUUCCCCUUUACGUCUCACCAGGGUUCUUAACUCGCCCCUGCGCUCCCCCCUGCUGCCCCCUCGGCCCUUCCGCCCCCCCUCAGAACACACCCGCCCCGCCACCCUGCAGAUACCUGUGGUCAGCUUCAGCAGCGCACCGCCGGAGCUUAGUCCCAGGUAGGAGAAACACACACAGACUCACUCCCAUACACACACAAAUCAUACACCACAGUUUGUAUAUAGUUUUAACAAGCUGGUUUAAACUCAGGCAGAGGUUUGAAUUGCUGUAAUACAGUAGACUUGUCUAUUUCAUGGUGGCUGGUAGAGGAACUGGAACUGAACACAAUUAACACUUGAGCGUUGAUCCUCCAGUGCCUGUCUGGCUGCCAUGGCAACUAACUGACGGUGCUAUUGGGUCCCAGCGGAGGGAGUGUGGAUUUCCCUCCACACCAGGCAGCAGGCUCAGUAUGCAACAAGAUCUCAGAAAAUGUUGAAAUUGACUUCAGAAUCCAAUGUUUGUCCAUGAGACUAGCGGGUUCAAUCCCAGUGCUACGCAAGCGUUUUUUGGUUUAAGCUUAUCCCAAAUCUUAACCCUUACCUUAACCAGAGCCUACUUGAUGGGAAUAGCGCUCACCGUUGCCCCUAGUGACCGGUAUUGAAGGCGAUUCCCGACCCCGACGGACAUCGAAUAUUACUUUGGAUCUUGAGUGACCUGGCUGCAGAGAGAGAGUGAGAGUGAGAGAGUGAGAGAGUGAGUGAGUGAGAGAGUGAGUGAGUGAGUGAGUGAGUGAGUGAGUGAGUGAGUGAGUGAGUGAGUGAGUGAGUGAGUGAGUGAGUGAGUGAGUGAGUGAGUGUGAGUGUGUGUGUGUGUGUGUGUGUGUGUGUGUGUGUUCAGCACACUGCAUAGCCCGCCUGCCAGCCCUGCUUGAGAAGCCCACACCUGACAUGUACUCAGUGGGGUGGCAGCUGUGUUGCUGUUUGAACAUAACAUCUGGAGACAGAGGGAGAGAGAAGAGACCUACAGUAGAGUAGAGGGGGAGAGACAGAGGGAGAGAGAAGAGACCUACAGUAGAGUAGAGGGGGAGAGACAGAGGGAGAGAGAAGAGACCUACAGUAGAGUAGAGGGGGAGAGACAGAGGGAGAGAGAAGAGACCUACAGUAGAGUAGAGGGGGAGAGACAGAGGGAGAGAGAAGAGACCUACAGUAGAGUAGAGGGGGAGAGACAGAGGGAGAGAGAAGAGACCUACAGUAGAGUAGAGGGGGAGAGACAGAGGGAGAGAGAAGAGACCUACAGUAGAGUAGAGGGGGAGAGACAGAGGGANNNNNNNNNNAAGGAGGAGGUAGAGGAGAAGGAGGAGGUAGAGGAGAAGGAGGAGGUAGAGGAGAAGGAGGAGGUAGAGGAGGAGCUGAAGGAGAAGGAGGAGGUAGAGGAGAAGGAGGAGGUAGAGGAGAAGGAGGUAGAGGAGAAGGAGGAGGUAGAGGAGAAGGAGAACCAAGGGGAGGGAGGGGCUGCAUACAGAGUGAGAGUGCAAAUAAAGAACACGAGAGGGAUUGUAAAUACAACCCAUUUAUGUUUAUUUAUUUUCCCUUUUGUACUUUAACUAUUUGCACAUAAUAUGACAUUUGAAAUGUCUUUAUUCUUUUGGAACUUUUGUGAGUGUAAUGUUUACUGU